AGAGUUUGAUCCUGGCUCAGAAUGAACGCUGGCGGCGUGCUUAACACAUGCAAGCCGCACGAGAACGUUUCAGCUUGCUGAAACUAGUAAAGUGGCGCACGGGUGAGUAACGCGUGGGUAAUCUACCUCCGAAUUGGGGAUAACAUUGCGAAAGCGAUGCUAAUACCGAAUGACAUCUCAAUCACUCCGGUCUUUGAGAUCAAAGAUGGCCUCUCCAUGGAAGCUACUGUUUGGAGAUGAGCCCGCGUACCAUUAGCUUGUUGGUAGGGUAACGGCCUACCAAGGCGACGAUGGUUAGCUGGUCUGAGAGGAUGAUCAGCCACACUGGAACUGACACACGGUCCAGACUCCUACGGGAGGCAGCAGUGAGGAAUUUUGCGCAAUGGGGGAAACCCUGACGCAGCAACGCCGCGUGAGUGAUGAAGGCUCUCGGGUCGUAAAGCUCUGUCAAGUGAGAAGAACCUGCCCUUUGCUAAUAUCACUGGGCACUGACGGUAUCACUGAAGGAAGCACCGGCUAACUCCGUGCCAGCAGCCGCGGUAAUACGGAGGGUGCAAGCGUUAUUCGGAAUCACUGGGCGUAAAGAGCGCGUAGGCGGUUUCUAAAGUCAGAUGUGAAAGCCCGGGGCUCAACCCCGGAAGUGCAUUUGAAACUUAGGGACUUGAGUAUGGGAGAGGGAAGUGGAAUUCCUGGUGUAGCGGUGAAAUGCGUAGAUAUCAGAGGAACAUCGGUGGCGAAGCGACUUCCUGGACCAAUACUGACGCUGAGCGCGAAAGCGUGGGGAGCAAACAGGAUUAGAUACCCUGGUAGUCCACGCAGUAAACGUUGAACACUAGUGUAGCCGGUAUUGACCCCUGCUGUGCCGCAGCUAACGCAUUAAAUGUUUCUGCCUGGGGAGUGCGGCGGCCGGCUUAAACUCAAAGAAAUUAACAGAGGCCCGCACAACCACGUCGAGCAUGAGGUUGAUUAUUACCUAACCGCAGCAACCUACCUCGCUGACAUACUCGCAUUCCUGGAACUCAAAUGCCAUCUCGAACCGUACAGCGUCAAUGCUGUCGACUUCUGAAGUCGUCAGUGCACUGAC
rnacentral:rRNA from 1 species